GAUGAACGCUAGCUACAGGCUUAACACAUGCAAGUCGAGGGGACACGGCAUCGAAAGCUUGCUUUUGAUGGGCGUCGACAGGCGCAAGGGAGAGUAACGCGAAUUCAACCUGCCCAUCACUUGGGAAUAACAUAGCGAAGGUAAGACUAAUGAACAAUGACAUCCCACGAAGGCAUCAGAAAGAGGCGAAAGUUUUAUCGGUGAUGGAUGGGGCUGCGUCUGAUUAGCUAGUUGGCGGGGUGACGGCCCACCAAGGCAACGAUCAGUAGGGGUGCUGAGAGGAAGCUCCCCCACAUUGGAACUGAGACACAGUCCAAACUCCUACGGAGCGCAGCAGUAAGGAAUAUUGGUCAAGGGACGAGAGCCUGAACCAGCCAAGUAGCGUGCAGGAUGACGGCCCUAUGGGUUGUAAACUGCUUUGAUAAGGGAAUAAUGUGGGUAACUUGUGACUUUUUGCAUGUACCUUAUGAAUAAGGACCGGCUAAUUCCGUG
rnacentral:rRNA from 1 species